AAAAAAAUUAAAUAAAUAAUAAAAAAGCAGAAAGGAAGCUGGUGCGGCAGGGUGCAGAGUGCUGGAGAUAGGUGCCUGCUAAGAGAGGGAGAGCAAGGCAGGGCUAAGCCCAGGGGCCUAGAGGCACUUGGAUUCAUCCUGGGUGUGAGGAAGAGGCUUUUUGGAGGGUGAAGCAGAAGAGGUGAUGUGACCUGAUAUGAUAUGUUUUUAGAAGGAUGAUGCCAGGUGCUCUAUAGAGAUUGGAUUGAGGCCAG
rnacentral:lncRNA from 1 species